CCUGGCGGCACUAGCGCGGUGGUCCCACCUGACCCCAUGCCGAACUCAGAAGUGAAACGCCAUAGCGCCGAUGGUAGUGUGGGGUCUCCCCAUGCGAGAGUAGGGAACUGCCAGGC
rnacentral:rRNA from 5 species